rnacentral:rRNA from 1 species
AGAGCGAACGCUGGCGGCAGGCCUAACACAUGCAAGUCGAGCGCCCGUAGCAAUACGGGAGCGGCAGACGGGAUAGUAACACGUGGGAACGCGCCCUUCGGUUCGGAAUAACUCAGGGAAACUUGAGCUAAUACCGAAUACGCCCUUACGGGGAAAGAUUUAUUGCCGAAGGAACGGCCCGCGUCCGAUUAGCUAGUUGGUGAGGUAAUGGCUCACCAAGGCUACGAUCGGUAGCUGGUCUGAGAGGAUGACCAGCAUCACUGGGACUGAGACACGGCCCAGACUCCUACGGGAGGCAGCAGUGGGGAAUAUUGGACAAUGGGCGCAAGCCUGAUCCAGCCAUGCCGCGUGGAUGAUGAAGGCCUUAGGGUUGUAAAGUCCUUUUAACGGGGAAGAUAAUGACGGUACCCGUAGAAUAAGCCCGGACUAACUCGUGCCAGCAGCCGC